rnacentral:rRNA from 1 species
UACGAAGGGGGCUAGCGUUGUUCGGAAUCACUGGGCGUAAAGCGCACGUAGGCGGAUUGUUAAGUCGGGGGUGAAAUCCCAGGGCUCAACCCUGGAACUGCCUUCAAUACUGGCGACCUUCGAGUCCGGGAGAGGUGAGUGGAACUGCGAGUGUAGAGGUGAAAUUCGUAGAUAUUCGCAAGAACACCAGUGGCGAAGGCGGCUCACUGGCCCGGUACUGGACACUGAGGUGCGAAAGCGUGGGGAGCAAACAGGGA